rnacentral:rRNA from 1 species
ACGCUCGACACCUACGGGAGCAGCAGUAGGGAAUCUUCCACAAUGGACGCAAGUCUGAUGGAGCAACGCCGCGUGAGUGAAGAAGGUCUUCGGAUCGUAAAACUCUGUUGUUAGAGAAGAACACGAGUGAGAGUAACUGUUCAUUCGAUGACGGUAUCUAACCAGCAAGUCACGGCUAACUACGCGCCAGCAGCCGCGGUAAUCUGAGCGGGCUGGCAAGGC